CUAGUACUCCCUCCGUCCCAUAUUAAGCGACAUGUAUCCAGACGCAUUUUGGACACAGAUGCAUUCAUAUUUAGGCAAAUUUAAGUCACUUAAUAUGGGACGGAGGGAGUAUAAU
rnacentral:pre_miRNA from 1 species